UUGUGUCCUUUAAUAUAUUUUUCAUAACAUCUCUUUCAGGUUUCCUUCCAGAGAUCACAGUGAACCUACCAUUGAUCAGUAAGAGGGACAUGGCUGGUGUGCAGGUUCCUGUCAAGAGACUGUGGGGAACUUGACAGUGGUUGUGAUCAGAGACGUUUCUGGUCUCCAGGUGAGCGUUCAGGAGAUCAUAGUGUGUUUAACAAUGGCCUAGACCUUGGAGUACUACAAGAUUCCAGGUUCCUGCCCGGAGGUCGUGGUGAACCUCGUAAUGAUGUUAAAGGACAUGGCUUGCAUCCAGGUUUCGAGGUAGAUUUGAUGGAAUUUUGCCAGAUAUUCAGGCAGAAGAUGACUGUGUCUGUAUCUGCAGCACUGCCCUUUGACUUUUGCUUGUAUCCAGGUAUUCUGGGAAGAGAUGGUGGUGUUCGUAACUACACUAAUGGCCAUAGGAUUUUGCAGAUACCCAGUCAAGAGAUAAUGGCAUCUCCAUCAACACUGGUGUCCAUGGGAAUGAAAGAAAAAUGGAAUACUUUUUUUGUAUUAGCUAUAUAUCUUGUUAAUAGAAUUUUUAACGUUCAGUGACUAUUAAAUAGU